rnacentral:pre_miRNA from 1 species
AAAGUACUCCCUCCGUCCCAAAAUUCUUGUCUUAGACUUGUCUAGAUAUGGAUGUAUCAAGUCACAUUUUAGUAUUAGAUACAUCCGUAUCUAGAAAAAUCUAAGACAAGAAAUUUGGGACAGAGGGAGUAGUUG